AUCGCUUCUCGGCUCUUUUGAGCUAAGAUCAAGUGUAGUAUCUGUUCUUCUCAGUUUAAUACCUGGGACGGAAACGAUUCGUUUCCUCUAUGUAUUAAUCGGAUUUUUGAACAUGGAGUAUGGUGCUGGAGCUUGCUCCACCCUGCUCACGGGUUGUCCUGGUAUUGCAGUACCUCCAGGCUCGGCCCACACCCC
rnacentral:snRNA from 10 species